GCCACAGUUGACAUCUGUACGCCCCACGUCACGUGAGGUUAGUGUCUGAGCAGGGACUACAAGGAGCCAACAAUCCUGACUUCUGGUCUACCUUUCCCCCAAGUACCCACAGCCUCCCUAAUAUCCAAAUCCUCAUGUAACUUUAUGCAAUGAAACAUAUCAAACUUUACAUAGCAUUGCCCAGCCUGUGCACGUUGAGGUAUUUCAAAGCAAAAAGCAUUAUAAAGUCUUUGUGAACCUCUCCCCACAAGCAUGUAAAGCUUUGGGAACAGGCCAGGAACCACCUGCCUUGGCAUACCAUAGUGCUGUGACCAUUGCAAUUAUAUUUUCCAGAUACAAUUCUUGGGGCAUGCAGUCUGAGAAUGCUUUGCCUCUGAAUGGAGCACAUGGUUUUUGGAUAGGGAAAUGUUGGCCUACAGAUGUAUGAAGGCUAUGGUGUUGGUGGGGGUGCCGUAAUAGGAUAACUUGAGUCUGAAUGUGUGAAGUGAUGUUUCGACUAGAGCUGAUUUUGGAAGUGGUUGUAGCUGGCACUGGGAGAUGAGGAGGCAUGAUGAGGGUGAGAAUAAUUCAAUGUGAAUUUUCAAGAGUUAGGCUCUUGAACUGUAAGAAUGUAAACCUCAGGUCACUUUACUAAGAGGGGUUAUAUUGGGCCAAAUGUCUGCAUCUGCCUCCCACAUUCAUUCACCUGGCCCCACCUGCCUGCCCCCAGGUGCCCUGUAUCUGGCUCAGGGCUGAGAACCACAGCAGCCUGGCACCUACUCCCUAGUCCUGGCCUUGUGGUCUCAUGUGGUCUGGGCUGCUCCCACCACAUCCCGACUCAGGUGAAGUGUGGAUCUGAGCGCACAGCUGCAAAGUACAGGGCCUGGGGCCUUGACCAGGAAGUGCAGGGUAACCACCUUUACUGUUCUUACUUUUAUUGCUACCUCUCCAUUUUAUGUUUAGUCUUUGACACCCUUCUUUGACUUCCCUCCAUGGAAAUGAAGGCUUCCCUUUUCCCCCACUACCUUCUCACCAUGCACUCACAACUUUCCCAUCUCUUAUUCCCCCGAGUUUCGGUCAGAUUAAUUUUUAACAUUUACUUUGGGAGGACUAUAGGAAGGCCAUUCAAAGCUGAGUCAUGUAGUCUACUGUGUUGGUUAUUGAUUUCUGUGUAACAAAUUACCCCAUAAUUUAGCCACUUAAGGCAAUAAGCAUUUAUUAUCUCAAGGUUCUGGCCAGGAGACUAGGUGUGGCUUAGCCGGGGUCUCUGGCCCAGGGUCUGUUGCAAGGCUGCUGUGAAGGCUGCUGGCCAGGGCUGCCAUGUCCCCAGGAUCAGCAGUGGGAGGCUCCCUUUCCAAGCUAACUCAUGUAGGGUUUGCAGGUCCUGUUAGUGAUAGCUUCUCUUUAGAAAGUCUUUUUUUUCCCCUUCAUGCAUAGGCUUGUUUUCUCUAAAUUGCCUGCCCCCUUAUUUAUUUGUAUUGGCUUUUAUCUUCCUUAUUAGAGAUUUUCUUCAGUUAUCUUGUAAUCCGUGAUUGUUUCCUAAUAUUUUAGAGUGGGGAACUGAAACUGCCAUUGCAAAAUUAUGACCAAGACAGUGAAAGAGAUCUGACCUGACUGACUCCAUCUUGCUUCUAACCUCCAAACUGUCCUCAUUCAUUCUUGGGCAUGGGCUGAACUAACUUUGGG
rnacentral:lncRNA from 1 species